UACGAAAGGGGCUAGCGUUGUUCGGAAUUACUGGGCGUAAAGCGCACGUAGGCGGCCUUGUAAGUUGGGGGUGAAAUCCCGGGGCUCAACUCCGGAACUGCCUUCAAGACUGCAAAGCUAGAGGACGCGAGAGGUUAGCGGAAGUCCGAGUGUAGAGGUGAAAUUCGUAGAUAUUCGGAAGAACACCAGUGGCGAAGGCGGCUAACUGGCGCGUUUCUGACGCUGAGGUGCGAAAGCGUGGGGAGCAAACAGG
rnacentral:rRNA from 1 species